CUGUAGUGUUUCAUAGUUAGGUUAGGGCUCAGAUGAUACUUUUUAUGUCAGAAUGCAGGCCAGUAUUGCUGUUUUAAACAUUCUUUUUCUGGGAAUAAUUACUUUUUUGUCCUUUUGACAUAGACAUCUGACCCUCAAUUACAUUAAGAGACCUUAUACACAUGAAUGGAAAGAAGAAUAGCCCCUUUUGAAUCCAUGCUAAGACUUUAUCAAUAUGAAGUGCUUCCCACAGGGUUCUGCUGAAAGAACCAAACUUCCAUCAUAAUGAAAUUGCAAAUUCAUUUGUGGAUGCCCUUUUAUAUUUGAAAGCUACUUCUUGAUGUUUGGUCUGCAGUUAGAUUUAUUGUUUAAGGUCACAAAUAAUGCAAUCCUGACUAGACCACGUUGUCAGAAUCCUUUAUUUAGCAUUGCGCAAAGACAAAUGGCUAUCCUUUAACAAUAACAUACCAACACCAAAAUUUGUUCCCAGUUGUACAUAAUCUUUUAAUCAAUCUGUUGCUCUCUGUUUUCCAGUCAAUAGACUCCCAGCCUACCCCCUCACCACCCCAUCUAUCUAGAAAUUACUCAAUUAUGGGUUUUAAAUUACUGAGAAACACUUUCUUCAGAUGAAAACAGAUAAUUGGAAGAAUUUUAAUGCUGUAAUUUUCCCCUGCAUGUUUUUAGCUUAACAUAUGAAUUAUUUUGCCUUUACCCUCAUUCUGAACAGGGUAGAUGCUUAUGUAGUAUGUUAGCUAAAUUCUCUGGUCACAUUCUUACUGUUAACAUGACCGCAAAGUGGAUUAUAGUGCUUAAUUGAAUUCUUAAUUCUUUAAAACAUCUCAGUGCACAUGGAUUAAGUUUUUUCCCUGAGAUUCUAUAAUGUCCUCCAAUAA
rnacentral:lncRNA from 1 species